rnacentral:rRNA from 1 species
UACGUAGGGUGCGAGCGUUGUCCGGAAUUACUGGGCGUAAAGAGCUCGUAGGUGGUUUGUCGCGUUGUUCGUGAAAACUCACAACUCAAUUGUGGGCGUGCGGGCGAUACGGGCAGACUGGAGUACUGCAGGGGAGACUGGAAUUCCUGGUGUAGCGGUGGAAUGCGCAGAUAUCGGGAGGAACACCCGUGGCGAAGGCGGUUCUCUGGGACGGUACUGACGCUGAGACGCGAAAGCGUGGGGAGCGAACAGG